UGACCUUGAGGCCUACCCAUAGUAAAAUUCCUCCUGUGUGUGAUUUAAAACGAAACUACUUGAAAUUAGGAUUUCCUUCGUUCAAAGAGAAAGGGUGGGUAUAUUUGUUGUAUCUGCCCGAUCGGAAUCGAGUGAUGACUAAGCGUUAAAGUCAGCAAUGGCAAAUAUCCCUUUUUAAUUUACCUUGAAGUCUGAAAUUCUGUUGUUGAUAUCUAAAAGGCAUGGAAGGAAGUUAAAAGAAAAUGUAUAAUCAAUUGGUAGAGGAAUCUGUUGGGUGUUAUAUAUGACCUGUUCUUGUGAGGUUCUAUGUGUCUCGUUACAAUAAGGAAAUGAACGUGGAGUUAAAACCAGUGACGUCAUGUCCCACAAACGCCAAUUCGUGGCUGAGCAAUGGCAUUAAGUUACAGUGUCCUAAUGAUACACUAGGAAGGAACCUGUACCAGUGUGUACCUAAUGAUGACAGAUCUUCACUGGUGGAAUUUUGUCUUUAAGGGAGUAUUGGCAGAUAUGGAGCAAAUUUGUGCCCUUAUGCUGUAUCCACUGGACACCUUGACGCUCUCAACUGUUCAACCUUUCUCAAUGGUUGUCCAGAAGAAUCCUACAAUACAAAUGAAGUGUACAAAUAUCAUGCCUGCUUAGAAAUAAAUCCAGAGGAAAAAUGCUAUUUUGCAAAUGAAAACUGUCCAAAUGAUUCAAUGUCCAUUUCACAAAACACUACUAAUGUAUUUCAACCAGAGGAUGAUACUACAGCAGUUAUUGCUGGUGUUGUUUCCACCUUCAUUAUAGCUCUGAUUGUUCUCGUAGUUUUAUAUCUCCUUUACCUUAGGCGCCGAAGGAACCGUCGACGUAAAGGGAAAAU